rnacentral:rRNA from 1 species
UACGUAGGGUGCAAGCGUUGUCCGGAAUUAUUGGGCGUAAAGGGCUCGUAGGCGGUUUUGUUGCGUCGGCUGUGAAAUCCCGAGGCUCAACCUCGGGUCUGCAGUCGAUACGAGCAAACUAGAGUGUUGCAGGGGGAGACUGGAAUUCCUGGUGUAGCGGUGAAAUGCGUAGAUAUCUGGAGGAACACCGGUGGCGAAGGCGGCGUUCUGGACUGCAUCUGACACUGAAAGACGAAAGCCAGGGGAGCAAAACGGG